CCUACGGGUGGCAGCAGUGAGGAAUAUUGGUCAAUGGCCGCAGGGCUGAACCAGCCAAGUCGCGUGAGGGAUGGCGGUCCUAUGGAUUGUAAACCUCUUUUGUCAGGGAGCAAAGGGCGCCACGUGUGGCGUUUUGCGAGUACCUGAAGAAAAAGCAUCGGCUAACUCCGUGCCAGCAGCCGCGGUAAUACGGAGGAUGCGAGCGUUAUCCGGAUUUAUUGGGUUUAAAGGGUGCGCAGGCGGAAUGUCAAGUCAGCGGUAAAAUUUCGGGGCUCGACCCCGUCGUGCCGUUGAAACUGGCGUUCUUGAGUGAGCGAGAAGUAUGCGGAAUGCGCGGUGUAGCGGUGAAAUGCUUAGAUAUCGCGCAGAACCCCGAUUGCGAAGGCAGCGUACCGGCUCCACACUGACGCUGAGGCACGAAAGCGUGGGUAUCGAACAGGAUUAGAUACCCCGGUAGUC
rnacentral:rRNA from 1 species